CACUAUGCACACCCAUGAACUUUGCUAAUAGCCGCAAUUCUAUUUCUCUUCUUUGUUUCUUCUUCUAACUAUUAAUUGGUUUUUGACGUCUCUGAGAUUAUCAUACGGUAAGAGUUUCUCAAGGAUCCCAAUGGUUCUCUCCGGUAAGUUAACAUUUUUUAGUGUCCAUACUCAUAACUAGCUAUUGUUACUUUUUUGUUUUGUUUCUUGGUUUUCUGGAGCUAACUGGAGUUAACAAUCGAACGAGAGUGGUUUUAUGAGAGGUAACGCGAGAUAUUAGUGCGGUUCAAUCAAAUAGUCGUCCUCUUAACUUAUGGAGAUCGGUGUUGUUCGAUUGAGCCGUGCCAAUAUCACGCGGUUAACCAAAAUCGCAAAGAUGGUUUAUCAUAUCCCGAACCCUAACCUUAAAGGCUUCGAAGGAACAAGCAACACACAACCCAAAAUCCAAGUACAACUGCGAUUUGCACUUCUAUUUUUAGGAAGUAUUUAAGGAAUUAUUAGUAAAAAAUAUAUCGUAACAUGCUAAGAGAGUAAAUGUACUAGCUAAAAUGUAAAAAAAAAUCGUUUUUUAGUAUCAUGAUGAUAUUUCAAAAUACAAUAAGUAUUUACUUUGUAAUUAUCUGUACCUUUUUGUCUUAAAUAAAUGUGUGUAUAUGCUUCUU